UAGUCAACUCAAGUUGUCGGAAGUCUUCUUCAAGUCAAGACAUCAAGAAGAAGGUAUCAUCACAAUAAAGUCAAGGAGGAUGGGACUCUGAGAUAUCUAGUGUUGUGGGCCUGACUAUAUGAGCAUCAGGAAGGGAAGGCCAGUGAAAAGAAAAAAUGGACUUUGAAGAAUCUGUGCUGUGGAGCUGCAUCUGUCUGAUCUAGACUGAGGCAAGACAAUGGUUUAGAUGCCCUAGUGAUUCCUCUAGCAGCUCAUUCAACCCUUGCAGAAACAGCAGCAACAAAUCUACUUCUGAAAAAAGCAGUGCUUUCAGUGGAGCUCUUGACAAUCCAAGGCACCUCCCAGAACUGCAGAAUGACAGCAGCUUUCUCUCAGCUUGAGAGUCCUAUUUUACAGGCUCCUGGUUUUAUUUUUCAGUUCCUCCCUACAUAUUUUGACCACAAGAGGCUCCAACUCCUGGCUACUAUUUACAAUGAAUGAAGAAGCUUUCCCUGUACUGACCAUUGGGGAUGAAAAUAGUGAGGAACUUGGGAUAUCAGAAUUGCCUCAUUGCACAGGCAACACUAGUGUGAUACUAGCAGAACAACUUCCAGCUCACAGAAUGUUUUCUUUCAAUCCUACACCCAGUUACUCAUGCAUGUUCCACUUGAGUAAAUGGGAUUUAUAUACUGCUUAA